CGGAUCACCUGAGGUCAGGAGUUCGAGACCAGCCUGGCCAACAUGGGGAAACCCUGUCUCUACUUAAAAAAAAAAAAAAGCCGGGCGUGGUGGCGGGCGCCUGUAAUCCCAGCCAAGGCGGGGGAAUUGCUUGAACCCAGGAGGUGGAGGUUGCAGUGAGCCGAUAUUGCGCCAUUACACUCCAGCCUGGGCGACAAAAGCGAGACUCAGUCACAAAAAGCAAAAACAAAACAACCAUGCAACUUUUAUAUUUAGCCUUGAUGAGUCCUGGAGGUACAAUUUCUACCUGGUUAACUGGAUACAUCUCAACUCUUCCCGUGGUUUCGCCUCCUCCUCAGGCUCGCAGAGAAGACGUUGUCCUCGCAGUAUUUUUAAAAAUACUAUGCACCAGUCUGCAGGAAAGGGCGCAGGGGGCGGCGAGGCAACCUAGGCCUGCGUGCCUCUGGCUUUCCUUUUGGAGGAAGCUUUCAUGCGCGUCCGUGUGAAGAGACCACCAAACAGGCUUUGUGUGAGCAACAUGGCUGUUUAUUUCACCUGGGUGCUGGCGGGCUGAGUCCGAAAAGAGAGUCAGCGAAGGGAGAUAAGGGUGGGGCCAUUUUACAGGAUUUGGGUAGGUAAAGGAAAAUUACAGUCAAAGGGGGUUUGUUCUCUGGCGGGCAGGAGUGGGGGUCGCAAGGUGCUCAGUAGGGGUGCUUUUUGAGCCAGGAUGAGCCAGGAAAAGGACUUUCACAAGGUAAUGUCAUCAGUUAAGGCAAGGACCGGCCAUUUACACUUCUUUUGUGGUGGAAUGUCAUCAGUUAAGGUGGGGCAGGGCAUAUUCACUUCUUUUGUGAUUCCUCAGUUACUUCGGGCCAUCUGGGCUUUUACGUGCAAGCCACAGGCGAUGCGAUGGCUUGGCUUGGGCUCAGAGGCCUGACAUUCCUGACUUCUUAUAUUAAUAAGAAAAAUAAAACAAAAUAGUGUUGAAGUGUUGGGGCAGCGAAAAUUUUUGGGGGGUGGUAUGGAGAGAGAAUGAGCAAUGUUUCUCAGGGCUGCUUCAAGUGGGAAUAGGGGCGGCGUGGGAACCUAGAGUGGGAGAGAUUAAGCUGAAGGGAGGUCUUGUGGUAAGGGGUGAUAUUGUGGGGAUGUUAGAAGAAACAUUUUUCGUAUAGAAUGAUUGGUCAUGGCCUGGAUACGGUUUUGUAUGGAUUGAAAAACUAAAUGGAAUAACAGAAGGAGAAAAACAGGUAUAAAAGGUCUAAGAAUUGGGACGACUCAGGAUGUCUGAUUAGAUAGUGCUUAAGGAGAUUCGGCAUAGUCCUGCCAGCAAAGAUUAUUUAUUUACUUCAAGAGUUAAGAGUGGCAGUUUGGGGAUAGCACCAGGAGAUAUCAGCUGUGAUGGCUUGGAAAAACAGUGUAAAACGGCAGUGUAAACAAGAGCAGGGCAUGUAUGAGUAGUUGAGAACGGUGAAUAGGAGUAUGACUAGACAGAAAAUAGUAGGGAUGACAAGUUUUUUUUUUUUUGGGGGGGCACAGUCUAAGUUGGUCUGGUGUCUGGAAUGAGACUGGGGCCUAAUAAAAAGGAGCGUCUAUACAGGAGCUUAAAUGGGCUGUACCCUGUAGCAUUCCGAGGACAGGCCUGAAUUCUGAGAAGGGAAAGUGGUAAAAGUAUUGUCCAGUCCUUUUUAAGUUGGUGGCUGAGCUUGGUGAGGUGUGUUUUUAAAAGACCUUUAGUCCAUUCUACUUUUCUUGAAGACGGAGGACCGUAAGGGAUAUAAAGGUUUCACUGAAUACUAAGAGCCUGAAAAACUGCUUGGCUGAUUUGACUAAUAAAGGCUCGUCUGUUAUCAGACUGUAUUGAGGUGGGAAGGCUAAACUGAGGAAUUAUGUCUGACAGAAGGGAAGAAAUGACUGCAGUGGCCUUCUCAGACCCUGUAGGAAAGGCCUUUACUUAUUCAGUGAAAGUGUCUAUUUAGACUAAGAGGUAUUUUAGUUUCCUGACUCGGGCAUGUUGAGGGGUUCUAAGAGGCGGGCUAGUGGCUUGUACUAUAGCAUAACCUGUCUUUGCUGGUGUGUGGCGAUUAGGCCUGGUGGAACUGCCAUCAAUAAAUCAAGCGUGAUCAGGGUGAGGAACAGGAAAGAAGGAAAUUUGGGGAAAUGGGGUGAAUGUCAGGUGGAUCAGAGAGAUACAGUCAUGGGGGUCAGGUGUGGUAUCAGGAAUAAUGUGGGAGGCCGGAUUGAAGUCGGGGCCAGGAACCAUGGUAAUUGUGGGAGACUCAACAAACAGUGAGUAUAGCUGAAGGAGCCGGGAAGCAGAAAGUAUAUGCAUCAGGUGUGAGGAAGAAAAUAGAUUUUGGAAGUUAUGAGAACUGUAGAGAGUGAGUUGAGCAUAGUUUGUGAUUUUGAGGGUCUCUAAAAGUAUUAAAGCAGCAGCAGCCGCUGCACACAGACAUGAGGGCUAGGCUAAAACAGUAAGGUCAAGUUGUUUGCACAGAAAGGCUACAGGAUGCGGUCCUGGCUCUUGUGUAAGAAUUCUGACCGCACUAACUAUGCCUAGGAAGGAAAGGAGUUGUUGUUUUGUAAGGGAUUGAGGUUUGGGAGAUUAAUCAGACACGAUCAGCAGGGAAAGCACGUAUGUUUUUAUGAGAAUUAUGCCGAGAUAGGUAACAGAUGAGGAUGAAAUUUGGGCUUGACUGAAGUAAUGGGGGCUGUCUAUGAAGCCUUGCGGCAGUACAGCCCAGGUAAUUUGCUGAGCCUAAUGGGUGUCAGGGUCAGUCUCAGUGAAGGCAAAGAGAGGCUGGGAUGAAGGGUGCAAAGGAAUAGUAAAGAAAGCAUGUUUGAGAUCCAGAACAGAAUAACGGGUAGUAGAGGAAGGUACUGAGGAUACGAGAGUAUAUGGGUUUGGCACCACGGGGUGGAUAGGCACAACAAUUUGGUUGAUAAGGCACAGAUUCUGAACUAACUUGUAAGCCUUGUCUGGUUUUAAGACAGGUAAAAUGGGGGAAUGGUAAGGAGAGUUUAUAGGUUUUAGAAGCCCAUGCUGUAGCAGGCGAGUGAUAAUAGGCUUUAAUCCUUUUAAAGCGUGUUGUGGGAUGGGAUAUUGGCGUUGAGCGGGGUAAGGGUGAUUAGGUUUUAAUGGGAUGGUAAUGGGCAUGUGAUCAGUUGCCAGGGAAGGAGUAGAGAUGUCCUAUACUUGUGGGUUAAGGUGGGGGGAUAUGAGAGGAAGACGCGAAGGAGGCUUUGGGUUGGGGAGAAGGGCAGCAAUGAUAUGUGGCUGUAGUCCAGGAAUAGUCAGGGAAGCAGAUGAUUUAGUUACAGUGUCUCAGCCUAAUAAGGGAACUGGGCAGGUGGGGAUAACUAAAAAGGAGUGCUUAAAAGAGUAUUGUCUAAGUUGGCACCAGAGUUGGGGAGUUUUAAGAGGUUUAGAAGCCUGGCCGUCAAUACCCACAACAGUUAUGGAGGCAAAGGAAACAGGCCCUUGAAAAGAAGGUAAUAUGGAGUGGGUAGCCUCCGUAUUGAUUAAGAAGGGGACGGACUUACUUUCCACUGUGAGAGUUACCUGAAGCUCGGCGUCCGUGAUUGUCUAGGGGGCUUCUGAGGUGAUCGGGCAGUGUCAGUCUUCAGCCACUAAGCCGAGAAGAUCUGGGAAGGAGUCAGUCAGAGAGCCUUGGGCCAGAGUUCCAGGGGCUCUGGGAGUGGCUGCCAGGUGAGUUGAACAGUCUGAUUUUCAAUGGGGUCCUACACAGAUGGGACGCAGCUUAGGAGGAAUCCCGGGCUGCGGGCAUUCCUUGGCCCAGUGGCCAGAUUUCCGGCACGUGUAGCAAGCUCCUGGGGGAGGAGGUUCUGGAGGAACACCUGGCCACUGCGGUUCAGGUGUUUGGAAGUUCUUGUGUGCUGGAGAUGUGGCUGGGGUUUGUCUCACAGUGGAGGCAAGGAAUUGCAACUUUUUUCUGUUAUUGUACACCUUGAAGCUAGAAACAAGAGUAAUGAUGGCACUUCACUCAGAGGUUUGUCCUGAGGCUUAAAUGAGGCAACAUGGACACAGCAUUUUAGCACAAGGCCAGAUGUGAUGGUGCUGAUGUUUAAGAAGAAAGUCCUUAUUCUUAGGAGAAUGCUGCUGAAAUAUUUAAGGACAAAGUGUCAUAAUGUCUGCAUUUACUCCCAAAUGUCUCAUCAAAAAUGGGCAAAUAUGAAGUAAAUGGGGCAAAAUCUUAAUAAGAAGUGAAUAUAGGUGAGUGCUACUAUUUAACAUUUUUGGAGACUCAAACAUUUGCAAAAUUAAAAAUUGGGACAAAAGUAUUUGGCAAAUCAUAAAGUACUCAACAGUAAUGGCACUAUGAUUAGUAGCAACAAUGAAAGUAUUUAGGAAAGAAGAAAAAUUUCUUACCAUGUGUGGACAGUACAGAGAAGCAGGUUGGUUUAGUUUUAUGCGGAUUGCAAUAUUUCCUUCUUCCCCUGGAGGCAGGAGAUUUGAGUUUUCAUCCACAAUCUGAAAUUAGAUAAUCACUAAAGGAAUUUUCCUUACAAACCACUUGUGCUCUUCCUAAAACACCACAAGAUCUAAACUUAAGCCUUUCUACCCCCAUUUAAGAUGCCAGGAAAGUGCUUGGUUGGUGUACUUAGAUACUGGGCAACCUAAGAGGCAGUGUGGUUCAGUCAUCAGUGUGAGGGUGCCAGAGCUGGAAAUAUUUGGGUUUGCAUGUCCACUCUGACGCCUUCUGACUCUGAGAUUCUUGGAUACUUCUCUGUACCUCAGUUACGUCAUCUAGAAAAUCAGAGAUUUAAAGUGCACCUAUUAUACAGCUUUAUUGUGAGGAUGAAAUAAGACAAUACAGGUAAGGGCUCCAUUGCCUGGUUAGUACAAAGUUUUAAGAAAGCCAGCAUCUCAGAAAGGCCUUUCAAACAAGGACACUUAAUUAGCCAUCUUAUGUAUAAGAAAAGAAAUAUAAAGAACAUGAAAAUUUAAAAACAGAUUUGGCAGUUUUAUAACAGUCUAGGAGGUGGUGUUAUUUUUUCCUAUUAAGAAUUAGAGGGCAGGUUAGGAAUAAAUAAAAUACAGUUUGAAAAUAAUGAGUUAUUGGCUGGGUGUGGUGGCUCACGCCUGUAAUCCCAGCACUUUGAGAGGCUGAGGUGGGCAGAUCACCUGAGGUCGGGAGUUUGAGACCAGCCUGACCAACAUGGAGAAACCCUGUCUCUACUAAAAAUACAAGAUUAGCUGAGUGUGGUGGCGCAUGCCUGUAAUCCCAGCUACAUGGGAGGCUGAGGCAGGAGAAUUGCUUGAACCCGGGAGGCCGAGAUCAUGCCAUUGCACCCCAGCCUGGGCAACAAGAGCAAAACUCUGUCUCAAAAAGAAAAUAAUGACUUAUUUCAGCCGAGUGGCUUCUUUAUUGACCUGAAAUGGAAGGCAUGACCAUAAAGUAAUGUGACAGGAGUUAAAAAGUACACUGAGAUGCUAGCUCAAUUUUGAGGGCUACAACCUUCCAAGUUGUCACCUUGGAAAGCAAUAUGCAUACUCAUUUUGAAUUUAUUAUCCUUGCUGAAUACUUGGAAACUUUUCUAUAGAAACUACCAGCCCUAAGGAUCAGAGGUCUUCAGGGUUAAUACAUCUUUAUACUUUGAUGACGAACUUUAGACUUUGGGAAAAGAAGUGGCAUUUAGUACUAAGUCUAGUAAAUUAGAUGAA